rnacentral:lncRNA from 1 species
UCGGCGACGCCAACUGUGAACCGCCCACGUUGCCUAUUUCGGUUGAGUUUUGAGUGUUACGCAAGCAGGAUAACUUCGGUCGCGAUAAGAUUCAAAAGUAGAAAAACCCGUCCUCGGACACCUUCGAACUUCACGUCUUGUACUCGACCGGAACUUACUGACUUCUGGUCUACGUGAUGUUAAUGACGGAAUAUCACGUAAAUUGGUGACAUACGAGACGAUCUCGGACCACGACGACAGUACGAAUUUAUCUGCAGAAGGACAGACGGUGAAUGGAGCUCGUUAGCUAUCUGCAGAAAAGCAUUUCAUGGGAUUUAUAAAAGCGUCGCAUUGCACAUUCCUGAGAACCAGGUAUUUCGCUGGAGCUUUGAAGCCCGAGGAUGGCGUGACCGUUAAUCAAGGGACUUUAAUUAGCCGACCCAAAACUCUACGGAGAAGUAACCAGAUGAACUCACUGAACAUUCCAAAGAACUAGCAAACGUCUGUAAUACCAGCUCGUAGAAGAAAAUUUUGUUCCAACGCCGAAGUUCGUGAAUUUUCUUCCCUAUUUCCUGGUUUUUCUACAGUUUCAAGUGACGGUUUUGUCGAGAAAUUUGAAAUGAAUCGCAGCGUCGAAUUAAGGGUGUUGGGUUCACGCACCUGUGCUUUCGCAACAUUUCUCGCUGCUUGUUCUCGUUGCUUCCUUCAACCUCGACGAAGACCACGGCGCCGACGACGCUGUAGAGGAAGACUAUAAGGAACAGGAAAAUGUGGGUGAACCAUCUUUUACUCCAGGAGCUGACCUGCGAACGUGACACGAAAUUCGAUGAAGCUACAAACGGAGCAUUGAGGAGAAAUUUCAAGAGGGAUAAGUAGUAAUCUUCGUCAUAAGGAGUCUUCGACUAAUUUACCUUCUCGUAAAGCCAGAAGGCGCUUUUUUCGCCAACGCUGAGCCCCGACUUUGUCCAAUCCUUGAUACCUUUGAACUGAGUGAACAUAAACUCGCUGGCUUUA